rnacentral:rRNA from 1 species
UACGUAGGUGGCAAGCGUUGUCCGGAUUUAUUGGGUUUAAAGGGUGCGUAGGUGGGUAGGUAAGUCAGUGGUGAAAUCUUCGAGCUUAACUCGGAAACUGCCAUUGAUACUAUUUAUCUUGAAUACUCUGGAGGUAAGCGGAAUAUGUCAUGUAGCGGUGAAAUGCUUAGAUAUGACAUAGAACACCAAUUGCGAAGGCAGCUUACUACAUAGUUAUUGACACUGAGGCACGAAAGCGUGGGGAUCAAACAGG